UACGCAGGUGGCAAGCGUUAUCCGGAUUUAGUGGGCGUAAAGGGAACGCAGGCGGUCUUUUAAGUCUGAUGUGAAGGCCUUCGGCUUAACCGGAGUAGUGCAUUGGAAACUGGGAGACUUGAGUGCAGAAGAGGAGAGUGGAACUCCAUGUGUAGCGGUGAAAUGCGUAGAUAUAUGGAAGAACACCAGUGGCGGAAGCGGCUCUCUGGUCUGUAACUGACGCUGAGGUUCGAAAGCGUGGGUAGCAAACAGG
rnacentral:rRNA from 1 species